rnacentral:rRNA from 1 species
ACAACAGUGAUGCCCUUAGUAAUGGCGAAUGAAACGGGCAGAGCCCAGCACCGAACCGCCGGCCAUCUCGGUCGUGCGGAAUGUGGUGUUCGGGAGAGCCUCAUCGAGGUGAGAGUGCCUGUCCAAGUCCUUCUUGACAGGGGCCAUUGCUCAGAGAGGGUGAUAGGCCCGUAGGACGGUCGGCUCGCCGAGGUGGCUUUUCCCCAGAGUCGAGUUGCUUGGGAGUGCAGCUCAAAGUGCGUGGUAAACUCCACGUAAGGCUAAAUAUGACCCCGAGACCGAUAGCGAACAAGUACCGUGAGGGAAAGUUGAAAAGUACUUUGAAGAGAGAGUUCAAUAGUGCGUGAAACUGUGCGGUGGUAAACGGAGGGGUUUCUCGAAGUUGGCCCCGGAGGUUCAAGUUUCAGGCUGGGUGGCCUGGGCGUACGGGAUCCGCAAGGACUCUGCGUUCAGGUGGGCCUGGUCUGCGACUGCACUUCUCCGGUGGCUUGGCGCAACGAACUGCUGGCGGUGCACCAUGGGCGUGGGUGAAGUUGGAGCUCGGCUUGCCGGGUUGCAGCCCCGCGUUCCAGGCUGCGCAGCCGGCAGGUAAGAGGGCGGCCUCGUAUAGCGAGCACAGUCUCUUGUGCGGGCUGCGUUUCUGUUGCGAGUAGGUCGGCGGCCCCUCCGACCCGUCUUGAAACACGGACCA